GGUCAGUUUCAGGGCGGGGUGAAAGUCCCCACUGGCGGUGACGGGCGGCCGUGAGCGGCGCCCCCAGUCCGCGACCCGCGAAAAGGCGGCUGACCCGGUGCGACUCCGGGACCAACGGUCACAGUCCGGACGGAAGAAACGGAGG
rnacentral:ncRNA from 2 species